CCCAGAACCGCAGCAAGCCGCCGGCCGGCGUUCGACUCUCUUUGCUCUCUCAACGAACUCCAGAUUUCACUUCACCAAAAGUCAACCCCCUCUGACCUUCCACUCACCCAUGCAUCAUCACCUCUAUAUAAGCGCUUCACUUGCGAGACAUUCCCAACACACACACACACAACUCGUCCGUCGUCACCACAACAAGCAGUACAGAAUCGAAGUCUCCACUCCAGUGCACCACCAUGGCGAAACUCACGGCAGUCGUCGUCCUGCUCAUGGUGCUGGCCGCCGCAACGGCUGGCGCGGUGGUCACCAACGCCGACGGCGCUACGGCUACCGUCCCAGGUCGUCGCCACCACCAGCAAACCAGGAGGAGCAGCCGUUUCCUGCUUGCCAACUCCUCGCCGCCGUCGCCGUACUACGCUUGCUCCAAGAAGUCAGCCGCCGCCGUGUGCUUCGCUCCGGGCAGCCCCGGCGCGACGUGCUGCGGCGGGCGGUGCGUGGACACGGCAGCCAGCGCCGACCACUGCGGCGGCUGCAGCAAGGUCUGCAAGCACGACCGCAGCACCUGCUGCG
rnacentral:misc_RNA from 1 species